GACGAACGCUGGCGGCGUGCUUAACACAUGCAAGUCGAACGGAAAGGCCCUGCUUUUGUGGGGUGCUCGAGUGGCGAACGGGUGAGUAACACGUGAGUAACCUGCCCUUGACUUUGGGAUAACUUCAGGAAACUGGGGCUAAUACCGGAUAGGAGCUCCUGCUGCAUGGUGGGGGUUGGAAAGUUUCGGCGGUUGGGGAUGGACUCGCGGCUUAUCAGCUUGUUGGUGGGGUAGUGGCUUACCAAGGCUUUGACGGGUAGCCGGCCUGAGAGGGUGACCGGCCACAUUGGGACUGAGAUACGGCCCAGACUCCUACGGGAGGCAGCAGUGGGGAGUAUUGCACAAUGGGCGGAAGCCUGAUGCAGCAACGCCGCGUGCGGGAUGUCGGCCUUCGGGUUGUAAACCGCUUUCGCCUGUGACGAAGCGUGAGUGACGGUAAUGGGUAAAGAAGCACCGGCUAACUACGUG
rnacentral:rRNA from 1 species